GGCCGACCGACCGUCUUCAUGGCCGAACGACCAUCUUCAUGGCCGACUCACCGUGGCCGACUUACCGUCUUCAUGGCCGACUCACCAUGGCCGGCCGACUGUCUUCAUAGCUGACUCACCAUAGCCAACUUACAGUCUUCAUGGCCGACUCACCAUCUUCAUGGCCGAUCGACCGUCUUCAUGGCCGACUUACCAUCUUCAUGGCCGACUGUCAAACAGCCGACUGAUACCAGAAUGAUACCUGACACUGACAACUGAUACCGAAUCGAUCGGUCAGUGUGAUAAAUGACCGUACCUACCAACACA
rnacentral:lncRNA from 1 species